CGAAGAACCUUACCAGGUCUUGACAUCCCCUGACAACCCGAGAGAUCGGGCGUUCCCCUUCGGGGGACAGGGUGACAGGUGGUGCAUGGUUGUCGUCAGCUCGUGUCGUGAGAUGUUGGGUUAAGUCCCGCAACGAGCGCAACCCUCGACCUUAGUUGCCAGCAUUCAGUUGGGCACUCUAAGGUGACUGCCGGCUAAAAGUCGGAGGAAGGUGGGGAUGACGUCAAAUCAUCAUGCCCCUUAUGACCUGGGCUACACACGUGCUACAAUGGGCGGUACAAAGGGUCGCGAACCCGCGAGGGGGAGCCAAUCCCAAAAAGCCGCUCUCAGUUCGGAUUGCAGGCUGCAACUCGCCUGCAUGAAGCCGGAAUCGCUAGUAAUCGCAGGUCAGCAUACUGCGGUGAAUACGUUCCCGGGCCUU
rnacentral:rRNA from 1 species